GUUAGCAUGUUUUCAUUGUGCGGUACCAGCACUUGAACUUGUAUCUGAACCUCCUCUAGGAAGUUUUUUGCGUUCCUAGUAAAUGAUAGGGUUCCCAUCCCUGUCUGUGUCACACAUCUCGGCAGAGGGAAAAUUAGCACGUGGAGUGGAGUAUUUGACAUGAUGUAGAUCGUAAUUGCUUAUUCAGGAAGGAUAUGAAGCGGACGUCCGUUCUCCACCCUCCGGCGCCAGCGACGGUGUGCCUCCACCCCAGAACACUCCAGCAGCGUCCCCGACCACUUUCCCUCCCUGGCGAGUCCAUUAUUUUCCGGUUUUCCGGCGAGAUCACCCAAAACUUCAAACAAAGUCGAUCUCGCCGGAAACUGGAAAAAAAGGGACUCGCCGGGGAGGGGAAGUGGUCGGGGACUCUGCUGGAGUGCUCUGGGGUGGAGGCGCGCCGUCGCCGGCGCCGGAGGAUGGAGAACGGACGGACGUCGGCACUUUAAGCCGAGUGCGGACGUCCGCUCUACAUCCUUUCUGAUUGCUUAUUAAUGGCAUGACAAAAGUAGUUAAUAAAUGUGAACUUGUCAUUCACUUCCAACUGAACCAAUGAGGAUACAAAACACCUGAAAUAGGUAGCUUUAUGAUUGAGAUUAUCUUUUUUGCAGAUAGAAUAGGAACAAUAUCUAUUCUUUGACUAAUCCAUGAUCUUUUAUCAGAGGAAUAUCACUGUAGUUACUACGGAUUAAGAUAAUUGCCAAACUUUAGAAUUACAAAUGUUACAACAUAAUUCUAGCACAUGGUAUGUGAUUCUUAAAGCUCAAGCUUCUUACUGCAGUGCAUUAUCCUUUUUCUGUAUUGAUGUUGAACUGAAAGACUGCAGUAGUAGUACAUUGUGGAUAACUCAACAGAACCAUUCAACUUCUUAUUAUGUAUCAUUUAACUAGAGAAAUAUUGAACUUGUUAGAACAAUGUACCAUUUACCUCUCAUGCAUACCAGUACUUAUUUCUAAGCUACAAGCAUCUCUUGUUCUUGAUCAGGACC
rnacentral:lncRNA from 1 species